rnacentral:rRNA from 1 species
CACGCAGGCGGUUUUAUCAGUCAGAUGUGAAAGCCCGGGGCUCAACCCCGGACGUGCAUUUGAAACAGUAAAACUUGAGUACGGGAGAGGAAAGCGGAAUUCCUGGUGUAGAGGUGAAAUUCGUAGAUAUCAGGAGGAACACCGGUGGCGAAGGCGGCUUUCUGGACCGAUACUGACGCUGAGGUGCGAAGGCGUGGGGAGCGAACAGGAUUAGAUACCCUGGUAGUCC